CCUACGGGAGGCAGCAGUAGGGAAUCUUCCACAAUGGGCGCAAGCCUGAUGGAGCAACACCGCGUGAGUGAAGAAGGGUUUCGGCUCGUAAAGCUCUGUUGUUGGAGAAGAACGUGCGUGAGAGUAACUGUUCACGCAGUGACGGUAUCCAACCAGAAAGUCACGGCUAACUACGUGCCAGCAGCCGCGGUAAUACGUCGGUGGCAAGCGUUAUCCGGAUUUAUUGGGCGUAAAGCUAGCGCAGGCGGUUGCUUAGGUCUGAUGUGAAAGCCUUCGGCUUAACCGAAGAAGUGCAGCGGAAACCGGGAAACUUGAGUGCAGAAGAGGACAGUGGAACUCCAGGUGUAGCGGUGGAAUGCGUAGAUAUAUGGAAGAACACCAGUGGCGAAGGCGGCUGUCUGGUCUGCAACUGACACUGAGGCUCGAAAGCAUGGGUAGCGAACAGGAUUAGAUACCCGAGUAGUC
rnacentral:rRNA from 1 species